rnacentral:lncRNA from 1 species
AAAUUUCAUCUGGUGCUACUUCGGAAUCCUGACAUCAUGAAUAGCAAUAAAUCUCUUUAGAUCGGUGCUUAGAUACGUAGAUAAACUAGAUGCACUCAACAUGUGAUCCAGAAGAAGACAGUCUACAGGGAGAAGUAAAAAUGAAGUAAAGAGAUCAGUAGUCUCAGAUCUGCCUUUCUUUCCACCACUCAGUUUCUUCCUACAGCUCAGGAUGCUGGUUGAGGCUCCACAGCACCCUCUUGAAGACCUACAGCACCUUCUCAAGGAUCCACGGCCCCCUCUGGAGGCUCUGUUGCACCCUUUUGGGGAUCUAUAGCACCGUCUUGCCACUUUUCCUGGCUCCCCAGGGCUUCCUCCCAGUGCCUAUUCUCUGCUCUCUUUGCUGGCUUCCAACUGCCAUUAAUUCUAAUACAUGCCCUUCCCUAACAUGUUUACCUGGGGAAGAAUCUAAGUAAUUAAUUCUCACUAGGUAUUACUGAUUAAUUUAUUAGAAUCCUAAAAAGUUGUGCAUUUUAACAGGAAUUCCCUUCACCCAAAGGGUUGUUAGAGGUGGGACGGACCUUAAAAGUAAAAGCGAUUGAAGCCAAGUCUCUCCUCCUCCCUCCACACUUCAUUUGUAAGCUACAUACAGCCACACCAGGGCUGAUGCUGUCUGUACUAGUCCUUCUUAUACUACAUUGCCUCCAGUGAAGGAGCUCCCAGCACCAGGACAGAUGUGUUAGGGAUAUUUCUGAAGCAAGAGAGCCUUUUCAGCAUGCUUAAACAUUCCUUAUAGGCUAUGAUCUUCUUAACUCACACAUUAGGCUUUCCUGAGAAAGCAGACAGCAAUACCAUUAG